rnacentral:lncRNA from 1 species
GCCCUCAAUUCCCCACUGGUGAAAAAACAUGGAAAUCGCUACGCCUAGGGGAAUAUCUGUGAGCCUGGCUGAAGAUGCCCCUGGCUCACCAUUUGUAUUUCUACCAAGAGUUUUGGAGGCUCUUAUGCUCAGGGAGAAGAUCGGCCACUGGCCUCUCUCUUCCCCUGGGCUAUGAGAUACUUGAGGAAACUUCUGUAGCCCAGCAUACAGCGUGUGCCAAAGAAAGCUGUUUGCAAGUAAGAACUGUGGCUCAAGCACAAAGGGGCUGACCAAGAGAGACACAUUUAGAGGAAGAGAGAGAUGCAAAAACAAACAAAAUCCUACCCUGACCAUUGCCACUGGAGCACGAGCAUCCCUACCCCAACACUAUGCCUCUUGCCCCACCGCCCCAUCUUGGCCACAUCAUCUGAGCUGAUCAGCCUCCCCAUGGUUCACAAGGGUCCCAGCUCUUCUAGAUCCUUGGCCAUGACAAUACUGUUCGGGACAAU